rnacentral:rRNA from 1 species
GAUGAACGCUGGCGGCGUGCCUAAUACAUGCAAGUCGAGCGAACAGACGAGGAGCUUGCUCCUCUGACGUUAGCGGCGGACGGGUGAGUAACACGUGGAUAACCUACCUAUAAGACUGGGAUAACUUCGGGAAACCGGAGCUAAUACCGGAUAAUAUAUUGAACCGCAUGGUUCAAUAGUGAAAGACGGUUUUGCUGUCACUUAUAGAUGGAUCCGCGCCGCAUUAGCUAGUUGGUAAGGUAACGGCUUACCAAGGCAACGAGUCGUAGCCGACCUGAGAGGGUGAUCGGCCACACUGGAACUGAGACACGGUCCAGACUCCUACGGGAGGCAGCAGUAGGGAAUCUUCCGCAAUGGGCGAAAGCCUGACGGAGCAACGCCGCGUGAGUGAUGAAGGUCUUCGGAUCGUAAAACUCUGUUAUUAGGGAAGAACAAAUGUGUAAGUAACUAUGCACGUCUUGACGGUACCUAAUCAGAAAGCCACGGCUAACUACGUG